CGAUGUGGAACAACUGCGUUCCCUUCACUUGCUUUCCUACACAUCUUACUGUGCUUGUUCUGGGGGGACUCACGCAUCUGCAUCACUCUGCACCAUUCUUGAUAGAAAAUACCUAGGAGAUCAAAAUGGAUAUUCCAACAUCAGACAUAGAUGUAACCCAGAUACCCCCAAGCACUCCCACAGAGGAGCCCGCAUCACCUCCCCCCUCUUACAUGGAAUCAGUCUUUUCUAGCAUCCCUGCUUCAGACACCAGCCCAGUCAAUGAUGAUCAAGUCAGUUCCCAAGACCAAGAACACACUGAAUCCACAGAAACAGAAAUGCAGCAAAUAGGAUCAAUCAGUCCUCUUCCUGUAGAGGUGCACCAGCAGUGUUCAGAGGACAGUGAGUGAGCAAGCACAAACAUCCUGGCCUUGGAGCUUUCAUUCAUUUCUGAAGGGCUGC